ensembl:lncRNA
AGCCUAGAUGCCCAUCAUAAUGGAAUCUAACUGGUUUUCCUGCUCAGGGCCCAAGUCGGAGAUCUCUAGCUUCAGUACAGAUACAGAGAGACUUAGAGAGGGAUCAAGACGAGUACCUGGAAGGCGAGUGCCAGCUGGAAUCAGGAGGAGAACCCGGAUGACCAGUCCUGUCCAGGUGCAGUAAGAGGAGAAACAAGGAACCCUUGAGUGUUUGAAGAAAAACAAAGGUCCAAGGGACAUGGAAUCAGUUGUUUAAGAAAAACAUGAGCUUCCCUCAUGAGAUGUUUUAAGAUCAGUAUUGUUGGAACUUGGUGUAAACCAAGCGUAGAGACAAACGCAAUGUUGAUCAUCAGUAUUUGUUGUUUUUACCAGAGAGGGAAUCAUUUGUGUUAAAAUAUAUCUGGUCAAAACAGGGAUGUUAAAAGGUCCCUCUGUAUGUAAGUAUCUUUUAAAGAAUAUUUUGUAGAGGGUUGCAUUAGAAACAACAGACUAUUGCAGAAAACUCACUUAGGAUCACAUGCGAUGUGGGAAAGGAAGAAACAAACCAAAGGAUGAACUUAAUUGUAUUUCUAAAAAGUGUGUGCAUGUGAAACACCUGUGAGUUUACUGCAACAGUUCUGUUUGGGGGAAUAUCUAUCUGUGUCCAGGUUUUGUUGGAUUGAGGUUUACUUCUGCAUGGCCAACGAUUUUAUGGUGCUCAUGUUCAGUAUUGUUUUUUUUCCAUUAAAGAAUAAAAUUGUUUGCAACAUUUUGAUAAU